rnacentral:rRNA from 1 species
GGGAAUCUACCGUGCCCUGCGGAAUAGCUCCGGGAAACUGGAAUUAAUACCGCAUACGCCCUACGGGGGAAAGAUUUAUCGGGGUAUGAUGAGCCCGCGUUGGAUUAGCUAGUUGGUGGGGUAAAGGCCUACCAAGGCGACGAUCCAUAGCUGGUCUGAGAGGAUGAUCAGCCACAUUGGGACUGAGACACGGCCCAAACUCCUACGGGAGGCAGCAGUGGGGAGUAUUGGACAAUGGGCGCAAGCCUGAUCCAGCCAUGCCGCGUGAGUGAUGAAGGCCUUAGGGUUGUAAAGCUCUUUCACCGGAGAAGAUAAUGACGGUAUCCGGAGAAGAAGCCCCGGCUAACUUCGUGCCAGCAGCCGCGGUAAUACGAAGGGGGCUAGCGUUGUUCGGAAUUACUGGGCGUAAAGCGCACGUAGGCGGAUAUUUAAGUCAGGGGUGAAAUCCCAGAGCUCAACUCUGGAACUGCCUUUGAUACUGGGUAUCUUGAGUAUGGAAGAGGUAAGUGGAAUUGCGAGU